rnacentral:lncRNA from 1 species
CGAAUUUAAUUCUCAUUUAGGAGGUGUGAUCCUAAUUCAAGAUUGAUAAUAUUUAAUUCAACAAACAAUCCAGGAUCCAAUCACACAUUUGAGGUCACUAAGAAAAACAUUCAAGUCAUUCACCUCUACAAUCCACAAUUCACAAAACCUGUGCAGUUUAUAAUCAUACAUCAUGUCACUAGAUGAUUCUUAAAAUCCAAAA